UCCACCUCUCCCGAUUCCAGCUGGUAACAGUUUAUGAAGCACGUGGUAGUGUUAAUACCGUGUUAAGGUGGUUUCAGUUGCUGGCUGUUGGCGACGUCAGCGUCAGGACUGUUUGACCGUGAACCCUUGCCGGGUAGGGUAAACCUGGGGCCCUGCUGAACGUCUCCCUUCUCACACUGCAGGAAGCCCCACCACUUCUGGCGUCUCUUCCCUGAUGGCGGCGUUGCUGGCUGGCACAGCUGGGCCUGGGGCCCUGGAAAACCACAUGGUGGAUAUAAGAAGCCACAGAAAGGCUGGCCUCUGACGUCAUGAAUGGCUGCUGAGGCGAAGGCUCCUCACUGCUUAGAAAAAAGGCUUGAGAUCCUUUGGAGAGUGGAGACUGUCACCUUAACCGCUGUGUCAAGUCAGCAUGGAACAAAGCCCUCAGCUGGUUUCUUCUGGAUACAGUGUCAAUGAGAAACAAAUCUUUGCUGUAUUAUUAAACCACUGAUGUUUGGGUUUGCUUUUUACUGCAGUACAAUACAGCUUGUUUUGACUCAUUCUAGGGUGCAACAUUCAGAAGGAGAGACAAUGGUCAAAGAAAUAAGGGAAAGCAUUUUCUAGAAUUGAUGGACUUUAAUUUCAAGUUUGAAAGCCCCUCCUAGAACUAAGUACAAUAAAUGAAUGAAACACGACCCACAUAAUGCAUGCCACUGUGACAUUUUAGAAUACAGGAGUAAAGAGACUCUCCUAAAGUUUCACAGAGCAGUGUACAAAAGAAUCACAGACAAAGACAGGAAUUACAGGAGACACGGAGUUCUCAGCAUCAACUCUGGAACCUAGAAGAGAAACAUUUUCAAAAUUCUAUUAAAAAACUUUUACAAUCUAUUUUUAUAUACCAUCCAAGUGAUAAAUAAAAAUAAAGACAAUUUUAAAGAAA